GAAGGUAUAGCUCAGUGGUAGAGUGUAUAUAGUUAGCAUGCAUGAGUUCCUGGGAUCAAUCCCCAAUACCUCCC
rnacentral:tRNA from 1 species